AUCCUGCCUGGAAUGUCACCCCCAGCAUCCUUCCCCACCUUACCCCAAGACUUGAAGACAUAUUAAUCUCAGGCUCAAGGUGGAAGUACCCAGAGAUGAGGUCACUGUCCCUCCAGGUGAUGGGAACUUGCCAUUAAGGACUCCCCAGCAGAACAAAACAAAUGUUCCCUCUCCCCUUGCUCCUCAGGUUCCUACUAAAAGGACUGCCAACCUUCUCACCACUACCCCCAGCCACUCCCCUGGGCCCCUCAGCAGCUCUGGCCCCCCAAGGAGGCCUCUCCCUGGGAAUCUCUGUCAGGGCUCUGCUGCUGCCACCACCAGAAAAACCAGCUCUGGCUCCAGGCCUGGCAACAAUCUCCACCGAGAGCUGGAGUAUGUGGGUGAGUCUGGGGUGAGAAAGGACCUAGGAGGGACGCACCGAAGCUCACCAUCCAGGACAGCCAGACCCAGUGACCCUUCCAACACCCCAGCACCCCACUUCAGCCAGGCCUGGACCAUCACAGAGUCAUCGUAUUUCAGAGCUGGAAGGUCAAUAGAGAUCAUCUGGUCCUAGCUCUCGGUCUACUGAAGUCUGGUUUCAUCGCUGCCCAAGGUUACCAAAUAGAUUAAUAGCAGAAACGGGAUCUGGACCAAGACUCCUGACUUCCCAGUCCAAGGAUUUUUUCAGAGACAUGAAACAUUCCAGGUUCCUGGGAGCCAUUAAGGAGAGUCUACACACAGAAGAGCCAGAAUGGGGGUGGUAGUGGAGGUAGGACCAUCUGAUCCUCAGGCUAGGAGCCUCCAGCCCCCAGAGCAACCUCAGCUCUGUGCAGGUUGUAGCUGCUGCAGCAGCAGCAGAGUGGCCUCCUACCAGGUGCCAGCUUCCUGGGGCAAUCUGGAGCCAGGCUUCCUCCCUUACUGCCAGGCAUUGCAUGAGGUCUAACUAGAAGGGGGUCUCCUGUCCCCUUCCCUGGGCUUCUCUUAGUAAGAACAGUUUUGCCAUCAUGGAAAAGAAAGGCAAGAACCAUGUGAUGCAGUCACCAUUGCAUCUCCAGCAUCUAGUAUCCAGGUUGUACCCAGUGUGCACUCAAAUGUACUAUUCUUCAAUGAACUUAGAGUGAGAACACCAA
ensembl:lncRNA NECTIN4-AS1 NECTIN4 antisense RNA 1